rnacentral:rRNA from 1 species
GCGUGCUUAACACAUGCAAGUCGAACGGAAAGGCCCUGCUUUUGUGGGGUGCUCGAGUGGCGAACGGGUGAGUAACACGUGAGUAACCUGCCCUUGACUUUGGGAUAACUUCAGGAAACUGGGGCUAAUACCGGAUAGGAGCUCCUGCUGCAUGGUGGGGGUUGGAAAGUUUCGGCGGUUGGGGAUGGACUCGCGGCUUAUCAGCUUGUUGGUGGGGUAGUGGCUUACCAAGGCUUUGACGGGUAGCCGGCCUGAGAGGGUGACCGGCCACAUUGGGACUGAGAUACGGCCCAGACUCCUACGGGAGGCAGCAGUGGGGAAUAUUGCACAAUGGGCGGAAGCCUGAUGCAGCAACGCCGCGUGCGGGAUGACGGCCUUCGGGUUGUAAACCGCUUUCGCCUGUGACGAAGCGUGAGUGACGGUAAUGGGUAAAGAAGCACCGGCUAACUACGUGCCAGCAGCCGCGGUGAUACGUAGGGUGCGAGCGUUGUCCGGAUUUAUUGGGCGUAAAGGGCUCGUAGGUGGUUGAUCGCGUCGGAAGUGUAAUCUUGGGGCUUAACCCUGAGCGUGCUUUCGAUACGGGUUGACUUGAGGAAGGUAGGGGAGAAUGGAAUUCCUGGUGGAGCGGUGGAAUGCGCAGAUAUCAGGAGGAACACCAGUGGCGAAGGCGGUUCUCUGGGCCUUUCCUGACGCUGAGGAGCGAAAGCGUGGGGAGCGAACAGGCUUAGAUACCCUGGUAGUCCACGCUGUAAACGGUGGGUACUAGGUGUGGGGUCCAUUCCACGGGUUCCGUGCCGUAGCUAACGCUUUAAGUACCCCGCCUGGGGAGUACGGCCGCAAGGCUAAAACUCAAAUGAAUUGACGG